CGUAUGGUACCGUCAACCCUGUACACGUACAGGGAGUUCUUCCCAUAUAAAAGAAGUUUACAACCCGUAGGGCUGUCAUCCUUCACGCGGCAUGGCUGGUUCAGACUUUUCCGUCCAUUGACCAAUAUUCCUU
rnacentral:rRNA from 1 species